rnacentral:rRNA from 1 species
UACGAAGGGGGCUAGCGUUGCUCGGAAUCACUGGGCGUAAAGGGUGCGUAGGCGGGGUUUUAAGUCAGGGGUGAAAUCCUGGAGCUCAACUCCAGAACUGCCUUUGAUACUGAAGAUCUUGAGUCCGGGAGAGGUGAGUGGAACUGCGAGUGUAGAGGUGAAAUGCGCAGAUAUUAGGAGGAACACCUGUGGCGAAAGCGAGUUACUGGUCCAUUACUGACGCUGAGGCGCGACAGCGUGGGGAGCAAACAGG